GUCCACGCCGUAAACGAUGAGUACUGGGUGUCGCGGGUAGUUGACCCCUGCGGUGCCGUAGCUAACGCGUUAAGUACUCCGCCUGGGGAUUACGGUCGCAAGAUUAAAACUCAAAGGAAUUGACGGGGCCCGCACAAGCGGUGGAGCAUGUGGUUUAAUUCGACGCAACGCGAAGAACCUUACCUAGGCUAGACAACGGUGGACAUCCCCAGAGAUGGGGCUUCCCUUCGGGGACUGCCGGUUCAGGUGCUGCAUGGCUGUCGU
rnacentral:rRNA from 1 species